CUCAGUCACCCCUCCUCGUCUCUGUCGGCUUCAAUACCAGAUUUCACACCUCCUUUCUCGCAUCUCCCCGUCAUCGCUUUCUCUGCCAUCAAUGAUCGUUAACCUCGCCGUCGUUAAACUCGCCGUCUGCGCCUGUUGAUCUUACUGACCAUCAUCUCUCUUGCAGCGUGGCUCUAUCAACCAUAUAUCGCAGCUCCUUUCACUGCUGUCGUCGUUAAACUCACCGUCGCCGAGAAGUGAACGCAAAUCAGACGAAGACAUAUGAAUAGGAGAAAUAGAACGAAAAAUGGCGGGAGGUGGAGAUGGAAACAUUGACCGGAAAGAUGGGAGGUUAGCGGCGGUGACAAAAAAGAGAAGAUGGAAAGAGAAGAGGAGAAUGCGAUUGAGAGGAGGGAACAUUGAAAAGAGGAGAGAAAAUUUACAAAAUUACUCUUCAUUUUCUAUUGAAAAUUCAAAUUUGUCCUUGUUUUUUAAAGAAAAUUACGAAAUCACCCAUGGUGUUGUAUUUGUGUCCAAAAUUAUGUGUUUGUUUAUCAUUUCUGCUUUUUAUAAUAAUUAGAGAUCAUAUAAAAGGAUAUGUUGGGUGAUGUUGUACCAUUGCUUUUGCUUAGUCUAGGUGUAGACAUCCGACAUUGUUCAGGUUAAACAUAUAUUAACUUUGAAUUUUUAAUUUCUUCUUUUAUAUUAAAUAAGUGUGCGAACGCU
rnacentral:lncRNA from 1 species